UACGUAGGGGGGCAAGCGUUUGUCCGGAUUUAUUGGGCGUAAAGAGCGUGUAGGCGGCCUGACAGGUCUGCUGUGAAAACUCGAGGCUCAACCUCGAGAUGUCGGCGGAAACCGUCUGGCUAGAGUCCGGAAGAGGAGAGUGGAAUUCCUGGUGUAACGGUGAAAUGCGCAGAUAUCAGGAAGAACACCUAUGGGCGAAGGCAGCUCUCUGGGACGGUACUGACGCUGAGACGCGAAAGCGUGGGGAGCGAACAGG
rnacentral:rRNA from 1 species